rnacentral:misc_RNA from 1 species
UAUAAAUACAUAUUUAUAUAAAUAUAUGUAAAAUAUUCGGAUCGAUCAGAUAGCCAACAGAUCUUUAAAUUUAAGUACCUAACUUGAUCAAAAAAUUCAAAAAUUUUAAGAACUUAGAUCCUAAAUCGAUCUGACCAUAUUAGUUUUUCGAUUUUGAAUGAGAUAAUUGGUUUUACUUGUCCACCCCUACUAUUUGGUAUUGGUAUCCCAAUUUUAUAUAGUGAGUCUUGACCAAGAUAUCAUUAUUUG